UACGAAGGGGGCUAGCGUUGUUCGGAAUCACUGGGCGUAAAGGGCGCGUAGGCGGCUUUAUAAGUCGGGGGUGAAAGCCUGUGGCUCAACCACAGAAUUGCCUUCGAUACUGUAGAGCUUGAGACCGGAAGAGGUAAGUGGAACUGCGAGUGUAGAGGUGAAAUUCGUAGAUAUUCGCAAGAACGCCAGUGGCGAAGGCGGCUUACUGGUCCGGUUCUGACGCUGAGGCGCGAAAGCAUGGGGAGCAAACAGG
rnacentral:rRNA from 1 species